ACGUCGAUGGGUUGGCCGAUGCCCGAUUAGCUAGUUGGUGAGGUAAUGGCUCACCAAGGCGAUGAUCGGUAGCUGGUCUGAGAGGAUGAUCAGCCACACUGGGACUGAGACACGGCCCAG
rnacentral:rRNA from 1 species